UAAGGUAUGCAAGUCGAACGAUCCCUUUCUGAUUUCUAGUAACUUCGGUUGCUAGUUUUCUAUCUGGGAUAGUGGCAAACGGGUGAGUAACACGUAGAUAACUUGCCUCGAAGUCGGGAAUAGCUCGUCGAAAGACGGGGUAAUAUCCGAUGGUCUCUAACCACUUCGUGUGUUUUAGAGUAAAGCUUUUGUGCUUCGAGAGAGGUCUGCGUCCUAUCAGCUAGUUGGUAAGGUAAUGGCUUACCAAGGCUAAGACGGGUAGCUGGUGUGAGAGCACGGUCAGCCACCAUGGAACUGAGACACGGUCCAUACUCCUACGGGAGGCAGCAAUUAGGAAUCUUGCGCAAUGGGGGCAACCCUGACGCAGCGACACAGCGUGGAGGAUGAAGGUCUUCGGAUUGUAAACUCCUUUUAUAUGGGAAGAAUAGAUGACUGUACCAUAUGAAUAAGGACCUGCUAACUACGUGCCAGAAGCAUCGGUGAUGCGUAGGGUCCGAACGUUAUCCGGAUUUAUUGGGUGUAUAGAGAUGCGUAGGCGGUUUGAUAAGUCUUGAGUUAAAGACCUCGGCUCAACCGAGGAAAAGCUUUCGAUACUAUCAGACUUGAGGCAUAGAGGGGUGAACGGAAUUCCGAGUGGAGUGGUGAAAUACGUUGAUAUUCGGAGGAACAUCAGUGGCGAAGGCGGUUCACUGGCUAUUGCCUGACGCUCAGGCUCGAAAGCGUGGGUAGCAAAACGGAUUAGAUACCCGUGUAGUCCACGCUGUAAACUAUGGAUGCUAGGUGUUCGGUACAACUGUUUUUAAUCUUCGGAUUUUAAACGGGAGUGCUGAGUGCCGCAGCUAACGCGUUAAGCAUCCCACCUGGGAAGUA
rnacentral:rRNA from 1 species